rnacentral:rRNA from 1 species
CUCAUGGUUUCACGGUAUUGCAAUGAGAACAAUUUAAAACCCUUAGCGAGAAUCAAGUGGAGGACAAGUCUGGUGCCAGCACCCGCGGUAAUUCCAGCUCCACUAGCGUAUAUUAAAGUUGUUGCAGUUAAAAAGCUCGUAGUUGAACCUCUGUCUGGGGCUAGUUUUGGCUUUGGUCAGGCUAGUUCUAGGCAUCCGCCUACAUGACUUAGAGGGCAUUCAGUUGUUCACUAGGAGGAGUAGGCAUUUUACUUUGAAAAAAUUAGAGUGUUUAAGGCAGGCAAUCGCCCGCAUAUAUUAGCAUGGAAUAAUAGAAUAGGACACUUUUCCAUUUCGUUGGUUAUUGGAAUCGUGUAAUGAUUAAUAGGGACAGUUGUGGGCAUUUGUAUUUAAUUGUCAGAGGUGAAAUUCUUGGAUUUAUUAAAGACAAACUAACGCGAAAGCAUUUGCCAAGGAUGUUUUCAUUAAUCAAGAACGAAAGUUAGGGGAUCAAAGACGAUCAGAUACCGUCCUAGUCUUAACUAUAAACUAUUCCGACUCAAUGUUUGACUGGCUUAUAUAACCAGUUGAGCGUUGUAUGAGAAAUCAAAGUCUUUAGGUUCUGGGGGGAGUAUGGUUGCAAAGCUGAAACUUAAAGGAAUUGACGGAAGAGCACAACCAGGAGUGGAUUCUGCGGCUUAAUUUGACUCAACACGGGGAAACUUACCAGGUUAAAACAAUAGUGGGAUUGACAGUUUGAGAGCGCUUUCUUGAUUGGUUGGGUGGUGGUGCAUGGCCGUUCUUAGUUGGUGGAGUGAUUUGUCUGCUUAAUUGCGUUAACGAACGAGACCUUAACCUGCUUACUAGACUGGCGAUCAUCAAUCGUUAGCUCUUCUUAGAGGGACUUUGGUUGUUUUAACUCCAAGGAAGUUUGAGGCAAUAACAGGCCUGUGAUGCCCUUAGAUAUCCUGGGCCGCACGCGUCAUACAAUGACUAGUUCAGAAAGUUUUCUCCUGACCCGAAAGGGGAUGGGUAAUCUUGAUAAUACUAGUCGUGUUAGGGAUCGAUCUUUGCAAUUAUAGAUCUUGAACGAGGAAUUCCUAGUAAGUGCGGUUCAUCAGACCGUACUGAUUACGUCCCUGCUCUUUGUACACACCGCCCGUCGCUUCUACCGAGUGGGUGGUCCGGUGAGAUAAUUGAACUUCGCAGGUAGCUGAGAGGAAAGAUUAUCAAACCUAUCCACCU